ACACAACAGGCUCACUAUCAAGUACCUCCAAGAGCCAAACCACAUCAGCCGUUAGCACCACAGGCUCACUAUCAAGUACCUCCAAGAGCCAAACCACAUCAG